rnacentral:rRNA from 1 species
GGAAUCUUCGGCAAUGGGGGCAACCCUGACCGAGCAACGCCGCGUGAGUGAAGAAGGUUUUCGGAUCGUAAAGCUCUGUUGUUAGAGAAGAACGUGCGUGAGAGUAACUGUUCACGCAGUGACGGUAUCUAACCAGAAAGCCACGGCUAACUACGUGCCAGCAGCCGCGGUAAUACGUAGGUGGCAAGCGUUAUCCGGAUUUAUUGGGCGUAAAGCGAGCGCAGGCGGUCUUUUAAGUCUAAUGUGAAAGCCUUCGGCUUAACCGAAGAAGUGCAUUGGAAACUGGAAGACUGGAGUGCAGAAGAGGACAGUGGAACUCCAUGUGUAGCGGUGAAAUGCGUAGAUAUAUGGAAGAACACCAGUGGCGAAGGCGGCUGUCUGGUCUGUAACUGACGCUGAGGCUCGAAAGCGUGGGGAGCAAACA